ensembl:lncRNA
UUUAAAGGUUGGCUGAAAAUUGAAUCAGUAUUUUCAUAUUAAGUGUUACGUGUACUUAAAAGCCAUUGUGUGUUAAAAUAUUUUGUGAUGACAACAUUAAAGUAUGACAUUAACUUUGUGAUGUGAAACUCUUAACUAGGGAAAAGGGAAUAAAGGACGACAUAAACGGCAAAGGAAACGAGUGGAAGAUCAAGCCUCUGAGGAGGAGGAGAUGGAGGAGGACAUUUAUGAUGAUGAAGUGUAUAACUAUGAAUAUGAGGUUGGAGUUCCUUCAUUCAUGAAUGAAUAGUCUUUAAAGUUAUGUGCAAGCAUGGUGAAC